rnacentral:rRNA from 1 species
UACGGAGGAUCCAAGCGUUAUCCGGAUUUAUUGGGUUUAAAGGGUGCGUAGGCGGGUGUAUAAGUCAGUGGUGAAAUUCUUCAGCUUAACUGGAGGACUGCCAUUGAUACUGUAUGCCUUGAGUACAGACGAGGUUGGCGGAAUGUGUAGUGUAGCGGUGAAAUGCUUAGAUAUUACACAGAACACCGAUAGCGAAGGCAGCUGACCAGAAUGUAACUGACGCUGAGGCACGAAAGCGUGGGGAUCAAACAGGAUUAGAUACCCUGGUAGUCCACGCCGUAAACGAUGAUUACUAGAUGUAUGCGAUACACUGUAUGCGUCUGAGCGAAAGCAUUAAGUAAUCCACCUGGGGAGUACGACCGCAAGGUUGAA